rnacentral:rRNA from 1 species
CCUACGGGCGGCAGCAGUGAGGAAUAUUGGUCAAUGGACGAGAGUCUGAACCAGCCAAGUCGCGUGAAGGAAGACGGCUCUAUGGGUUGUAAACUUCUUUUAUAGGGGAAUAAAGUUAAGUACGUGUACCUUUUUGCAUGUACCCUAUGAAUAAGGAUCGGCUAACUCCGUGCCAGCAGCCGCGGUAAUACGGAGGAUCCGAGCGUUAUCCGGAUUUAUUGGGUUUAAAGGGUGCGUAGGCGGUCGUUUAAGUCAGCUGUGAAAGUUUGGGGCGCAACCGUAAAAUUGCCGUUGAUACUGGGUGUCGUGAGUGUAGCAGAGGUAGGCGGAAGGCGUGGUGUAGCGGUGAAAUGCUUAGAUAUCACGAAGAACACCGAUUGCGAAGGCAGCUUACUAAGCUAUAACUGACGCUGAUGCACGAAAGCGUGGGUAUCAAACAGGAUUAGAUACCCGGGUAGUC